AGCUUGUUGGUGAGGUAAAAGCUCACCAAGGCGACGAUCUGUAGCGGGUCUGAGAGGAUGAUCCGCCACACUGGAACUGAGACACGGUCCAGACUCCUACGGGAGGCAGCAGUGGGGAAUUUUGGACAAUGGGGGCAACCCUGAUCCAGCCAUGCCGCGUGAGUGAAGAAGGCCUUCGGGUUGUAAAGCUCUUUCAGCCGGGAAGAAAACGCAUGGGUUAAUACCCUGUGUGGAUGACGGUACCGGAAUAAGAAGCACCGGCUAACUACGUGCCAGCAGCCGCGGUAAUACGUAGGGUGCGAGCGUUAAUCGGAAUUACUGGGCGUAAAGCGUGCGCAGGCGGUUUUGUAAGACAGGCGUGAAAUCCCCGGGCUUAACCUGGGAACUGCGUUUGUGACUGCAAGGCUAGAGUACGGCAGAGGGGGGUGGAAUUCCACGUGUAGCAGUGAAAUGCGUAGAGAUGUGGAGGAACACCAAUGGCGAAGGCAGCCCCCUGGGUCGAUACUGACGCUCAUGCACGAAAGCGUGGGUAGCAAACAGGAUUAGAUACCCUGGUAGUCCACGCCCUAAACGAUGUCAACUAGGUGUUGGGAGGGUAAAACCUUUUAGUACCGGAGCUAACGCGUGAAGUUGACCGCCUGGGGAGUACGGCCGCAAGGUUAAAACUCAAAGGAAUUGACGGGGACCCGCACAAGCGGUGGAUGAUGUGGAUUAAUUCGAUGCAACGCGAAAAACCUUACCUACCCUUGACAUGCCAAGAACUUUCCAGAGAUGGAUUGGUGCCCGAAAGGGAACUUGGACACAGGUGCUGCAUGGCUGUCGUCAGCACGUGUCGUGAGAUGUUGGGUUAAGUCCCGCAACGAGCGCAACCCUUGUCGUUAAUUGCCAUCAUUUAGUUGGGCACUUUAACGAGACUGCCGGUGACAAACCGGAGGAAGGUGGGGAUGACGUCAAGUCCUCAUGGCCCUUAUGGGUAGGGCUUCACACGUCAUACAAUGGUCGGUACAAAGGGUCGCCAAGCCGCGAGGUGGAGCCAAUCCCAGAAAGCCGAUCGUAGUCCGGAUCGCAGUCUGCAACUCGACUGCGUGAAGUCGGAAUCGCUAGUAAUUGUGGAUCAGAAUGUCACGGUGAAUACGUUCCCGGGUCUUGUACACACCGCCCGUCACACCAUGGGAGCGGGUUCCGCCAGAAGUAGGUAGCCUAACCGCAAGGAGGGCGCUUACCACGGCGGGGUUCGUGACUGGGGUGAAGUCGAAACAAGGUAGCCGUAGGGGAACCUGCGGCUG
rnacentral:rRNA from 1 species